AACGAACGCUGGCGGCAGGCUUAACACAUGCAAGUCGAACGCUCCGCAAGGAGAGUGGCAGACGGGUGAGUAACGCGUGGGAAUCUACCCAUCUCUACGGAAUAACUCAGGGAAACUUGUGCUAAUACCGUAUACGCCCUUCGGGGGAAAGAUUUAUCGGAGGAUGGAUGAGCCCGCGUUGGAUUAGGCUAGUUGGUGGG
rnacentral:rRNA from 1 species